AGUGAACGCUGGCGGUAGGCCUAACACAUGCAAGUCGAACGGCAGCACAGUAAGAGCUCGCCCUUACGGGUGGCGAGUGGCGGACGGGUGAGGAAUACAUCGGAAUCUACUUUUUCGUGGGGGAUAACGUAGGGAAACUUACGCUAAUACCGCAUACGACCUACGGGUGAAAGCAGGGGAUCUUCGGACCUUGUGCGAUUGAAUGAGCCGAUGUCGGAUUAGCUAGUUGGCGGGGUAAAGGCCCACCAAGGCGACGAUACGUAGCUGGUCUGAGAGGAUGAUCAGCCACACUGGAACUGAGACACGGUCCAGACUCCUACGGGAGGCAGCAGUGGGGAAUAUUGGACAAUGGGCGCAAGCCUGAUCCAGCCAUACCGCGUGGGUGAAGAAGGCCUUCGGGUUGUAAAGCCCUUUUGUUGGGAAAGAAAAGCAGCAGGUUAAUACCCCGCUGUUCUGACGGUACCCAAAGAAUAAGCACCGGCUAACUUCGUG
rnacentral:rRNA from 1 species